rnacentral:rRNA from 1 species
GUCGUGACUGCGUGCCUUUUGAAGAAUGAGCCUGCGAGUUUGCGGUGUGUUGCGAGGUUAACCCGUGUGGGGAAGCCGUAGCGAAAGCGAGUCCGAAUAGGGCGGUUUAGUAGCGCGCUCAAGACCCGAAGCGGAGUGAUCUAGCCAUGGGCAGGUUGAAGCGGAGGUAAGACUUCGUGGAGGACCGAACCCACCAGGGUUGAAAACCUGGGGGAUGACCUGUGGUUAGGGGUGAAAGGCCAAUCAAACUCCGUGAUAGCUGGUUCUCCCCGAAAUGCAUUUAGGUGCAGCGUCGUGUGUUUCUUGCCGGAGGUAGAGCACUGGAUAGGCGAUGGGCCCUACCGGGUUACUGACCUUAGCCAAACUCCGAAUGCCGGUAAGUGAGAGCGCGGCAGUGAGACUGUGGGGGAUAAGCUCCAUGGUCGAGAGGGAAACAGCCCAGAGCAUCGACUAAGGCCCCUAAGCGUACGCUAAGUGGGAAAGGAUGUGGAGUCGCAGAGACAACCAGGAGGUUGGCUUAGAAGCAGCCAUCCUUGAAAGAGUGCGUAAUAGCUCACUGGUCAAGUGAUUCCGCGCCGACAAUGUAGCGGGGCUCAAGCGUACCGCCGAAGUCGUGUCAUUGCAGCAUGUGGUCCAACGGCCGCUGUGAUGGGUAGGGGAGCGUCGUGUGCCGGGUGAAGCAGCCGUGUAAGCGAGUUGUGGAUGGUUCACGAGUGAGAAUGCAGGCAUGAGUAGCGAUACACACGUGGGAAACGUGUGCGCCGAUUGACUAAGGGUUCCUGGGUCAAGCUGAUCUGCCCAGGGUAAGUCGGGACCUAAGGCGAGGCCGACAGGCGUAGUCGAUGGACAACCGGUUGAUAUUCCGGUACCCGCUUUGAAACGCCCAGUAUCGAAUCCUCUGAUGCUAAGGCCGUGAAGCCGUCCUGGAUCCUUCGGGUGAAGGGGAGUGGUGGAGCCGCCGGUCCAAGGUGGUAGUAGGUAAGUGAUGGGGUGACGCAGGAAGGUAGUCCAUCCCGGGCGGUGGUUGUCCCGGGGUAAGGGUGUAGGACGUCAUGCAGGUAAAUCCGUGUGACAUUGAGUCUGAGACCUGAUGCCGAGCCGAUUGUGGUGAAGUGGAUGAUCCUAUGCUGUCGAGAAAAGCCUCUAGCGAGUUUCAUGGCGGCCCGUACCCUAAACCGACUCAGGUGGUCAGGUAGAGAAUACCGAGGCGUUCGGGUGAACUAUGGUUAAGGAACUCGGCAAAAUGCCCCCGUAACUUCGGGAGAAGGGGGGCCAUUGCUGGUGAUGGGAUUUUCUCCUUGAGCUGGUGGUGGCCGCAGAGACCAGCGAGAAGCGACUGUUUACUAAAAACACAGGUCCGUGCGAAGCCGUAAGGCGAUGUAUACGGACUGACGCCUGCCCGGUGCUGGAACGUUAAGGGGACCGGUUAGUCACAUUUCGGUGUGGCGAGGCUGAGAACUUAAGCGCCAGUAAACGGCGGUGGUAACUAUAACCAUCCUAAGGUAGCGAAAUUCCUUGUCGGGUAAGUUCCGACCUGCACGAAUGGCGUAACGACUUCUCGACUGUCUCAACCAUAGGCCCGGUGAAAUUGCAUUACGAGUAAAGAUGCUCGUUUCGCGCAGCAGGACGGAAAGACCCCGGGACCUUUACUAUAGCUUGAUAUUGGUGUUCGGUUCGGCUUGUGUAGGAUAGGUGGGAGACUGUGAACUCUGGACGCCAGUUCAGGGGGAGUCGUUGUUGAAAUACCACUCUGGUCGUGCUGGAUGUCUAACCUGGGUCCGUGAUCCGGAUCAGGGACAGUGUCUGGUGGGUAGUUUAACUGGGGCGGUUGCCUCCUAAAGGGUAACGGAGGCGCCCAAAGGUUCCCUCAGCCUGGUUGGCAAUCAGGUGUUGAGUGUAAGUGCACAAGGGAGCUUGACUGUGAGACCGACGGGUCGAGCAGGGACGAAAGUCGGGACUAGUGAUCCGGCGGUGGCUUGUGGAAGCGCCGUCGCUCAACGGAUAAAAGGUACCCCGGGGAUAACAGGCUGAUCUUCCCCAAGAGUCCAUAUCGACGGGAUGGUUUGGCACCUCGAUGUCGGCUCGUCGCAUCCUGGGGCUGGAGUCGGUCCCAAGGGUUGGGCUGUUCGCCCAUUAAAGCGGUACGCGAGCUGGGUUUAGAACGUCGUGAGACAGUUCGGUCCCUAUCCGCUGUGCGCGUAGGAGUCUUGAGAAGGGCUGUCCCUAGUACGAGAGGACCGGGACGGACGAACCUCUGGUGUGCCAGUUGUUCUGCCAAGGGCAUGGCUGGUUGGCUACGUUCGGGAGGGAUAACCGCUGAAAGCAUCUAAGCGGGAAGCCUGCUUCGAGAUGAGGACUCCCACCCACUUGAUGGGUUAAGGCUCCCAGUAGACGACUGGGUUGAUAGGCCAGAUAUGGAAGCCGGGUGACCGGUGGAGUUGACUGGUACUAAUAGGCCGAGGGCUUGUCCUC